UGCCAAGUAUUAUUCUGUUCUCCAAACCCACAUGUUCCCUUUUGCACAUGCUCUGUUCCAUUGAGGUCAAAACUGGAUGUUUCAGCAAAAUAAUGAAACACAGCCAGGGCAUGACAUGUAGAAACUGUCAAGACAUUAGUUUUGUUAUUUUUUCUUGUGAUCAAUAAAUUU